UUUGAAAGGAAGAUGGAUUCCUCCUCUACUAAGGUGAACCAGUAUUUCAUAGAAUGAAGAUUAUUUUUUAAAAUGGAUUGGAAAUAUUCUGCUACUAAUUAUAGAUGCAAAUCAGGAAAUGGUAUAUUGAUCUUAAUAACUUUUAGUCCUUCUACAACUUGAAUAUGCCACUGCUCUAAAGUCUCUUACGCUUAUCCAACUCCAUGUUAUAAGACAUUUUAUCUGAUAUUAUGACAAUUGAAGAGAAAGAUGGUGUGAAUUAAAAGCCUGGAGAAAAAACCUGCAGACACACAAAGCUUUUUAAAGGUCUGUACAGAUUUUCUUCUUAAGCUUUAAAACAACAUGUCAGCUAUGGCUUUUCCUCCCGAAUGUAAACCUAAUGCCCAGUUUUCUGUAUGUCUUAACUCCUGUGCGUAUUUCUACUGAAAAGCUUUAGCAGACCAACCUCUUGUAAUAAAAGGUUAAACCUUUUCUCCUGUUCCCAUGAGUUUUAGUCCUGAGGAAAACACAAAUCAAAAUGGCUGAAAAGGAGACAUGAUGAGUCAUAUCUACUCAGGGAGGGUAAUAACCGAGUAUAGAAAACUUAAGAUAUUGACAUGAUCUGAUGUUCUGUUUGAAGGUGACUUAAUCACAGGUUUCUGCACAGAAAGGAUCCAGACUUCAAACAAUCGUGCUGGGCUUGAUGCCAAGAAUCCUCAUAACUGAGUGCUGCUAUCAGUCCUUCCAGAAAGGAAAAGCAGAAAUAAAAAGGCAAAAAGGAAAAGUUAUCGGCCUUCUAAUACAUUUGGCAUGUUAGCAUGUUUGUCAGAGAGGUACCCUUUCCAAAUACUGAAUUUUGCCUUAAUGAACAGAAGGUCUCUGGCCUUAGCUCCUCAUGGGACUUAAAUAUAGGCCUGUUUGAAGGUAAACAUUGCUAAUCAAAUGUGUCAGUAUUUUGAUAGGUUGUGCCUUUUGAAAAAAAGAUGAGGAAGAGGAUCUGGUACCUUCCCUAUAGGCCAUUAUCCAUUUGAGCCUCAAAUAGGGCAUGUCAGAUAUCAAGGAGAGGGACAGAAAAAGAGAAGCGCUCAGGAACAAUUAGCCCAGAGCAACAACAACAACAGAAAAUGGUCUGAACAAAAAUCCAGGCAGAAAACCUUUGCUUUUGAGAGGAGAAUAAUUCACAUCAACAAAACAAACUAGAGCAAAAAUGAUGGUCCUCAGUUUUGUUACUUGUUUCUUCCAUUCUUGUUCUUAAGUUUAUCUCAUUACGGAUCUUUCUCUUGUCCAGGCUUCUUCAUCACAUAUAAUAAGGUCAUGUCUUGUGUGUUCAUCUGCCAUUACAUCAGUUCCCUCAGCAUGGACAUCCCAGGGAGUGUGACCAACAGCAUUUUGAUAGAAAUUUGUAUGAGAAAGAGUGUUUGUAUCAGAAAUAGUGUGACCAGAAGGACUAAGGAAGUGAUCACACCUCUGUACUUGGCACUGGCCUGAAAUUUUCUUUUGCAACGUCAGAUAAAAGUCCUUCUCCCUGCAUUACCUACACUGCUGCCUCUGUGUCUAUUUCUUUGAUCUCCAUCCCACAAGAAGCUGGAACACUGAUCCACAGAGCAAGAGCUCAGUGCCACUGUUCAGAAAUGGAUGAAAGGGAGACAAAGCGAUGCGAGUGUGAGCUGGCUUGAAUCAAUGCCUGCUUCACUGCGGCCAGGAGAUCAGCAUGCAGGAAACACGCUAACACCUGGGAAGUGCAGACUGAGGCACAGCACCCAGGGACACCAGGACAGAUGGAUUAAUGAACCUGUGCUGGAAACUUCACGUGGGGAUCCUUUUUUG